rnacentral:tRNA from 1 species
GCGUUCGUAGUGUAGUGGUCAGCACACUCGGCACGUAAUCAAGAGGCCCGUGGUUCGAAUCCCGGCGAAGGCG